rnacentral:rRNA from 1 species
ACGAACGCUGGCGGCGUGCUUAACACCUGCCAGUCGAACGGAAAGGCCCUGCUUGCAGGGUACUCGAGUGGCGAACGGGUGAGUAACACGUGGGUGAUCUGCCCUGCACUUCGGGAUAAGCCUGGGAAACUGGGUCUAAUACCGGAUAGGAGCCAUUUUUAGUGUGAUGGUUGGAAAGUUUUUUCGGUGUAGGAUGAGCUCGCGGCCUAUCAGCUUGUUGGUGGGGUAAUGGCCUACCAAGGCGGCGACGGGUAGCCGGCCUGAGAGGGUGGACGGCCACAUUGGGACUGAGAUACGGCCCAGACUCCUACGGGAGGCAGCGGUGGGGAAUAUUGCACAAUGGGCGCAAGCCUGAUGCAGCGACGCCGCGUGGGGGAUGACGGCCUUCGGGUUGUAAACUCCUUUCGCUAGGGACGAAGCUUUUUGUGACGGUACCUAGAUAAGAAGCACCGGCUAACUACGUG